GAAACCAUGGGGAACUGAGGGACUCCUCUGAAGGGGCCUGAGGCAGAGUCUGCAGGAGAACAGACACCUCCGAAAAAAAUCUCAGUCUGAGGGGCCAGUGGGAACUGAAGUAAGUGCAGCUCUGCGGGAGGGCUGAAUUGUGUAGAGGCAGAUGGCCUGCAGGGGCUGCUACAGAUGAAGAUUCCUACAACAUUGUGCUCUGCUGCAAGGGAGAACACUGAUGG